GGUCAAGUUAUUAAGGGUGCAGGGCGGAUGCCUUGGCACUAGGAGCCGAUGAAGGACGUGAUAAGCUGCGAUAAGCUUCGGGGAGUUGCACGUAAACUUUGAUCCGAAGAUUUCCGAAUGAGGAAACUCACUUAGAGUAAUGUCUAAGUAUCAUUAAGUGAAUACAUAGCUUAAUGAGGGGAACUCAGGGAACUGAAACAUCUAAGUACCUGAAGGAAGAGAAAGAAAUUCGAUUCCGUAAGUAGCGGCGAGCGAACGCGGAUUAGCCCAAACCAAUAAAGUUUUCUUUAUUGGGGUUGCGGACAUAUCAUAACGAAGAGGUAUCGUAAUUGAAGAGGUUUGGAAAGACCCACCACAGAAGGUAAUAGUCCUGUAUGUUAAACGAGAAGACUUCAGAUAUGAUCCAGAGUACCACGGGACACGUGAAACCCUGUGGGAAGCAGGAGGGACCACCCUCCAAGGCUAAAUACUACCUAGUGACCGAUAGCGUAUAGUACCGUGAGGGAAAGGUGAAAAGAACCCCGGGAGGGGAGUGAAAUAGAACCUGAAACCCUGCACUUACAAGCUGUGGAAGCACAUUUCUUGUGUGACCGCGUACUUUUUGUAGAACGGGCCAACGAGUUACGUUAAGUAGCAAGGUUAAGCACUUAAGGUGUGGAGCCGUAGCGAAAGCGAGUUUUAACUGAGCGUUCAGUUACUUGACGUAGACCCGAAACCGGGCGACCUACCCAUGAGCAGGAUGAAGCGAAAGUAAAAUUUCGUGGAGGUCCGAACCCACGAGCGUUGAAAAGCUCGGGGAUGACUUGUGGGUAGCGGUGAAAUUCCAAUCGAGCCCGGAGAUAGCUGGUUCUCCCCGAAAUAGCUUUAGGGCUAGCCUCAAGGUGAGAGAUACGGAGGUAGAGCACUGAAUGUCCUAGGGGGUAUUGCACCUACCGAAGACUAUCAAACUCCGAAUGCCGUCAUCUUAUACUUGGGAGUCAGACUGUGGGUGAUAAGAUUCAUAGUCGAAAGGGCAACAGCCCAGAUCGUCAGCUAAGGUCCCUAAAUGUAAGUUAAGUGGUAAAGGAUGUGGGAUUGCACAGACAACCAGGAUGUUGGCUUAGAAGCAGCCACUCAUUCAAAGAGUGCGUAAUAGCUCACUGGUCGAGUGAUCCUGCGCCGAAGAUUUCCGGGGCUAAAACUUACUACCGAAGCUACGGCAUCAGUAAUGAUGGGUAGGGGAGCUUCCCAUACGGGUUGAAGCAUGACCGUAAGGACAUGUGGACAGUAUGGGAGUGAGAAUGUUGGCAUGAGUAGCGAGAUGUGGGUGAGAAUCCCACAGGCCGUAAACCCAAGGUUUCCAGGGGAAGGUUCGUCCGCCCUGGGUUAGUCGGGACCUAAGCUGAGGCCGAAAGGCGU
rnacentral:rRNA from 1 species